UACGGAGGGCGCAAGCGUUACUCGGAAUCACUGGGCGUAAAGAGCGUGUAGGCGGAUUAAUAAGUCAGAAGUGAAAUCCAAUAGCUUAACUAUUGAACUGCUUUUGAAACUGUUGAUCUAGAGUAUGGGAGAGGUAGAUGGAAUUUCUGGUGUAGGGGUAAAAUCCGUAGAGAUCAGAAGGAAUACCGAUUGCGAAGGCGAUCUACUGGAACAUAACUGACGCUGAGACGCGAAAGCGUGGGGAGCAAAC
rnacentral:rRNA from 1 species